rnacentral:rRNA from 1 species
UUAAGUGAAUAAGGGCGCACGGUGGAUGCCUUGGCACUAGGAGCCGAUGAAGGACGGGACUAACACCGAUAUGCUUUGGGGAGCUGUACGUAAGCUAUGAUCCAGAGAUUUCCGAAUGGGGGAACCCAACAUCUUUAAUAGGAUGUUACGAUUGUGUGAAUACAUAGCACAUUCGAGGUAGACGCAGAGAACUGAAACAUCUAAGUACCUGCAGGAAGAGAAAGAAAAUUCGAUUCCCUGAGUAGCGGCGAGCGAAACGGGAAAAGCCCAAACCAGCAAGCUUGCUUGUUGGGGUUGUAGGACUCCAAUAUGGUAGUUCUUUCAGAUAGUCGAAUGACUUGGAAAAGUCAGUCAAAGAGGGUAAAAACCCCGUAGACGAAAUGUGGAAGACACCUAGGAGGAUCCUGAGUACGGCGGAACACGAGAAAUUCCGUCGGAAUCCGGGAGGACAAUAUAUGUUAAGUGGAAAAGGAUGUGGGGUUGCACAGACAACUAGGAUGUUGGGAAAGGUGAAAAGCACCCCGGAAGGGGAGUGAAAUAGAACCUGAAACCGUGUGCCUACAACAAGUCAAAGCCCGUUAAUGGGUGAUGGCGUGCCUUUUGUAGAAUGAACCGGCGAGUUACGAUUGCAUGCGAGGUUAAGUUGAAGAGACGGAGCCGCAGCGAAAGCGAGUCUGAAUAGGGCGUUUGAGUAUGUAGUCGUAGACCCGAAACCAUGUGAUCUACCCAUGUCCAGGUUGAAGGUGCGGUAAAACGCACUGGAGGACCGAACCCACGUACGUUGAAAAGUGCGGGGAUGAGGUGUGGGUAGCGGAGAAAUUCCAAACGAACUUGGAGAUAGCUGGUUCUCUCCGAAAUAGCUUUAGGGCUAGCCUCGGAAUUGAGAAUGAUGGAGGUAGAGCACUGUUUGGACUAGGGGCCCAUCUCGGGUUACCGAAUUCAGAUAAACUCCGAAUGCCAUUCAUUCAUAUCCGGGAGUCAGACUGUGAGUGAUAAGAUCCAUAGUCGAAAGGGAAACAGCCCAGACCACCAGCUAAGGUCCCAAAAUAUAUGUUAAGUGGAAAAGGAUGUGGGGUUGCACAGACAACUAGGAUGUUGGCUUAGAAGCAGCCACCAUUUAAAGAGUGCGUAAUAGCUCACUAGAAGGGGUGCUGAUCAUACGAUCAGCCGCGGGGCUAAACAUAUUACCGAAGCUGUGGAGUACACCUUUAGGUGUAUUGGUAGGAGAGCGUUCUAAGGGCGUCGAAGGCAGAUCGUGAGGACUGCUGGAGCGCUUAGAAGUGAGAAUGCCGGUAUGAGUAGCGAAAGACAGGUGAGAAUCCUGUCCACCGAAUAACGGUCCUAAGGUAGCGAAAUUCCUUGUCGGGUAAGUUCCGAGGACCUAAGCCGAGGCCGACAGGCGUAGGCGAUGGAUAACAGGUUGAUAUUCCUGUACCCGUUGUUUUUGUUUGAGCAAUGGAGGGACGCAGGAGGCUAAGGAAUGCAGACGAUCGGAAAUGUCUGUCCAAGCAGUAAGUCUGAAGAGGAGUCAAAUGCUUCUUUUCUUAAGGACAAGCUGUGAUGGGGAGGGAAAUAAUAGUACCGAAGUUCCUGAUGUCACACUGCCGAGAAAAGCUUCUAGUGAGAAAACAGCGGCCCGUACCGCAAACCGACACAGGUAGUCGAGGAGAGAAUCCUAAGGUGAGCGAGAGAACUCUCGUUAAGGAACUCGGCAAAAUGACCCCGUAACUUCGGGAGAAGGGGUGCUGAUCAUACGAUCAGCCGCAGUGAAUAGGCCCAAGCGACUGUUUAUCAAAAACACAGGUCUCUGCAAAAUCGUAAGAUGAAGUAUAGGGGCUGACGCCUGCCCGGUGCUGGAAGGUUAAGAGGAGUGCUUAGCGCAAGCGAAGGUACGAAUUGAAGCCCCAGUAAACGGCGGCCGUAACUAUAACGGUCCUAAGGUAGCGAAAUUCCUUGUCGGGUAAGUUCCGACCCGCACGAAAGGCGUAACGAUUUGGGCACUGUCUCAACGAGAGACUCGGUGAAAUUUUAGUACCUGUGAAGAUGCAGGUUACCCGCGACAGGACGGAAAGACCCCAUGGAGCUUUACUGUAGUUUGAUAUUGAGUGUCUGUACCGCAUGUACAGGAUAGGUAGGAGCCGUAGAAAUCGGAACGCUAGUUUCGAUGGAGGCGCUGGUGGGAUACUACCCCUGCGUUAUGGCCACUCUAACCCGCACCACUAAUCGUGGUGGGAGACAGUGUCAGAUGGGCAGUUUGACUGGGGCGGUCGCCUCCUAAAAGGUAACGGAGGCGCCCAAAGGUUCCCUCAGAAUGGUUGGAAAUCAUUCGAAGAGUGUAAAGGCAGAAGGGAGCUUGACUGCGAGACCAACAAGUCGAGCAGGGACGAAAGUCGGGCUUAGUGAUCCGGUGGUUCCGCAUGGAAGGGCCAUCGCUCAACGGAUAAAAGCUACCCUGGGGGAAGUUAAGCUUCUUAGCGCCGAUUUCCACAUCGACGGGGAGGUUUGGCACCUCGAUGUCGGCUCGUCGCAUCCUGGGGCUGUAGUCGGUCCCAAGGGUUGGGCUGUUCGCCCAUUAAAGCGGCACGCGAGCUGGGUUCAGAACGUCGUGAGACAGUUCGGUCCCUAUCCGUCGCGGGCGUUGGAAAUUUGAGAGGAGCUGUCCUUAGUACGAGAGGACCGGGAUGGACUUACCGCUGGUGUACCAGUUGUUCUGCCAAGGGCAUUGCUGGGUAGCUAUGUAGGGAAGGGAUAAACGCUGAAAGCAUCUAAGUGUGAAGCCCACCUCAAGAUGAGAUUUCCCAUUUCUUUAAGAAAGUAAGAUCCCUGAGAGAUGAUCAGGUAGAUAGGUCAGGAGUGGAAGUACAGUGAUGUAUGGAGCGGACUGAUACUAAUCGAUCGAGGACUUAACC